rfam:Candidatus Atelocyanobacterium thalassa isolate ALOHA, complete genome.
UCUGGUGUCUUGAGCGUCAUGGACCCACUCCGAUCCAUCCCGAACUCGGUAGUUAAACAUGACAGCGGCAACGAUACUUUUGGGGUAGCCCACUGGAACAAUAGUUCGAUGCCAGAA